AUUGAACGCUGGCUGCAGGCCUAACACAUGCAAGUCGAACGAGUGGCGGACGGGUGAGUAAUGUCUGGGAAACUGCCUGAUGGAGGGGGAUCACUACUGGAAACGGUAGCUAAUACCGCAUACCAUCAGAUGUGCCCAGAUGGGAUUAGCUUGUUGGUGGGGUAACGGCUCACCAAGGCGACGAUCCCUAGCUGGUCUGCGAGGAUGACCAGCCAAACUGGAACUGGGACACGGUCCAGACUCCUAAGGUAGGAAGAAGUGGGGAAUAUGGCACAAUGGGCGCAAGCCUGAUGCAGCCAUGCCGGGUGUAUGAAGAAGGCCUUGGGGUUGUAAAGUACUUUCAGCGGGGAGGCGUUACCCGCAGAAGAAGCACCGGCGAACUCCGUGCCAGCAGCCGCGGUAAUUC
rnacentral:rRNA from 1 species